UUAACUCUCAAAUUUGUAAGGAGUUGGAACGUUUGCGUACGUUUACCGCUAGGGGCGCUGUUCCAACUGCAUAAAAAUGGGGUA
rnacentral:pre_miRNA from 1 species